rnacentral:rRNA from 1 species
GUUGGUACUUGUACCGACUGGAUGAGCAGCGAACGGGUGAGUAACGCGUGGGGAAUCUGCCUUUGAGCGGGGGACAACAUUUGGAAACGAAUGCUAAUACCGCAUAAAAACUUUAAACACAAGUUUUAAGUUUGAAAGAUGCAAUUGCAUCACUCAAAGAUGAUCCCGCGUUGUAUUAGCUAGUUGGUGAGGUAAAGGCUCACCAAGGCGAUGAUACAUAGCCGACCUGAGAGGGUGAUCGGCCACAUUGGGACUGAGACACGGCCCAAACUCCUACGGGAGGCAGCAGUAGGGAAUCUUCGGCAAUGGACGAAAGUCUGACCGAGCAACGCCGCGUGAGUGAAGAAGGUUUUCGGAUCGUAAAACUCUGUUGGUAGAGAAGAACGUUGGUGAGAGUGGAAAGCUCAUCAAGUGACGGUAACUACCCAGAAAGGGACGGCUAACUACGUGCCAGCAGCCGCGGUAAUACGUAGGUCCCGAGCGUUGUCCGGAUUUAUUGGGCGUAAAGCGAGCGCAGGUGGUUUAUUAAGUCUGGUGUAAAAGGCAGUGGCUCAACCAUUGUAUGCAUUGGAAACUGGUAGACUUGAGUGCAGGAGAGG